rnacentral:rRNA from 1 species
CCUACGGGAGGCUGCAGUGAGGAAUAUUGGUCAAUGGCCGUAAGGCUGAACCAGCCAAGUCGCGUGAAGGAAGAAGGAUCUAUGGUUUGUAAACUUCUUUUAUAGGGGAAUAAAGGUAUCCACGUGUGUAUAUUUGCCUGUACCUUAUGAAUAAGCAUCGGCUACCUCCGUGCCAGCAGCCGCGGUAAUACGGAGGAUGCUAGCGUUAUCCGGAUUUAUUGGGUUUAAAGGGUGCGUAGGUUGUUUUUUAAGUCAGAGGGGAAAGUUUGGGGCUCAACCAUAAAAUUGCCGUUGAAACUGGAAGACUUGAGUGUGGUUGAGGUAGGCGGAAUGCGUGGUGUAGCGGUGAAAUGCAUAGAUAUCACGCAGAACUCCGAUUGCGAAGGCAGCUUACUAAGCCAUAACUGACACUGAAGCACGAAAGCGUGGGGAUCAAACAGGAUUAGAUACCCCAGUAGUC